rnacentral:rRNA from 1 species
CCUACGGGAGGCAGCAGUGGGGAAUAUUGCACAAUGGGCGAAAGCCUGAUGCAGCGACGCUGCGUGAGGGAUGACGGCCUUCGGGUUGUAAACCUCUUUCAGCAGGGAAGAAGCGCAAGUGACGGUACCUGCAGAAGAAGCACCGGCUAACUACGUGCCAGCAGCCGCGGUAAUACGUAGGGUGCGAGCGUUGUCCGGAAUUAUUGGGCGUAAAGAGCUCGUAGGCGGUCUGUCACGUCGGAUGUGAAAGCCCGGGGCUUAACCCCGGGUCUGCAUUCGAUACGGGCAGACUAGAGUGUGGUAGGGGAGAUCGGAAUUCCUGGUGUAGCGGUGAAAUGCGCAGAUAUCAGGAGGAACACCGGUGGCGAAGGCGGAUCUCUGGGCCAUUACUGACGCUGAGGAGCGAAAGCGUGGGGAGCGAACAGGAUUAGAUACCCUGGUAGUCCACGCCGUAAACGUUGGGAACUAGGUGUUGGCGACAUUCCACGUCGUCGGUGCCGCAGCUAACGCAUUAAGUUCCCCGCCUGGGGAGUACGGCCGCAAGGCUAAAACUUAAGGAAUUGACGG